CUGGUUUGAUCGAAACCAAGAGUGGUGGGUUUGUGCUGAAACGAUCCUGACGUUUCAGGAAGGGAAGAAUGGGUUCAGGGCUAGUGAUCAUUCUGUGAUAUGGUAUCAUUAGUAUGGGUCCCUAUAGUUCUGAAGAAGAAAAUAGUGUAUUGGUCAUUUAAAAAAGUAAUUUUAGCUCAUAGACUCCCUGCCACACUUGAGUAACUUUUGGAAAGUGUAAUAUUUUACCUUAAUCCCUUUAAGUGGUAGGCACUUUUUCUAUAUUCCCUUUACUGUCCUUUAACUGAUUAGUGAAAUAUCUGUGUGAACCCAGAAGUCUGAUUUAUUAAUUUUAUUGUCUUUUUUAAUAACUUACUUCUCCCUAGUGCUGGGUACUGAGGCCCAGACACUGCCAUGAUUUUUUUCUAUAAUAAUUGUCUGUCCUCCCCCGGCCUGCAGCCUCAAGGGGCUACUUUUGGAUUUCCCAGCUUUAAUGAAGCCUCUGUCUGUUUCUUCCCAUGGGUGGGUAGUAAUAAAUCUGCUCAAAAUUCCCCCAUCAAGAUACAUUGUGACUCAUUUUAGGGUGUAUAGCAGAACAGUGGAUAAGACUCAGCAUCCUGACCCUCAGACGUGUUCCAGGGACAACUCUAGAAGAGAUGUAGAAGUGAAAAUGCCACAUGUCAAACUGGCCUUGACUUCUUGAUCUGGGAGCCUUUCUUGGCCCAGGUCUGAGGGUUUUAGCCAUGGUUAAUUUGCUGGCCAGGGUGCUCCAGAAAUUCUGAAGCACCUCUCUGGGUAGUCAGGCAGUUGCUGAUGAGAAUGGUGUCUGAGAUGUUGCUCUGGAAAUAGAUAACAGGUCUUGGGGUCCAUGUCCUAAAACCAUGGUAGUAAAAGAUUGCUCAGAGGAGAGACUCUGAGUGGGGAGACGCACAUGCCCCAGCCCCUUCUUGUUUGCCAGCGUAAACACUUAGGCAUCGUGCUGGUAGAUCCUUCCUUGGCGAGUCUGUUCAGAUUACUUUCCAUAAAUUCUCAUUGUUGCCUGUAAGCACAGGUCUCAGGUGUUUUUAAGGUUCAGGGCAAAACAGAUUUCUGUCUCUCUCCUGCUCUAAGGGUAACUGGCUGUAUUUGUAAUGCACAAUGCCUGGCUCUGUAUGUGUGUACGUGUGGGUAUUGGGCUAUCUUUUAUUCAUGAAGCACGUUUAAGUGCAAAAGUCUAACAGAAAAUGAAAGUAGCUUGGGUCUUUUUCAAACAUUUAAUUUUUAUGUGUUGAUUUGGAAUCAUGGAAUGAAAAGCACACAGAACUUGGAACAUGAUAAAAGAUUAAUGAGAAACAAAGCCAUGAACUCAUCAGAGUCUCAACUCCACUAAAUUACAGGCCCUAAAGAGUCACAGUAACUCAUCUGUGUGUCACAGAACAGAACCAUUAUUGCUUGCUUUGGGUCUGACUCAGUCAGCAGAGCAGUGCGGAGUGAGAAUGUUGUGUCGAUGCUUUUAAUGCACAGGUUCUCAACCCCUGGCUACUCAUCUGAACCACCUAGGGAUCUCUUAAAAAUCGUCUGUGCUCCAGGUCUACUGAAUCAGAAUUUAUAAGUGUGGGUCCCACAAAGCUCCUCAGAUGCUUCUUUGUGCAACUAGAGUUGAGAACCACUGUUUUUUGUGUCCUGGGUGGCUGUGGUAGAAGUGGAGAUCUGGUGGGAUUGAUUCUGGAUGGGGUCUUCUGAUUGAAAUUGGUGACAUCUGACCUGAAUAAAAUAUUGUAGAUGUAAAUCUUGUUAAGUUUGCCUUAAGAAUUGUUUGAAGUAAUCAUAUUCUUUUCCACUUUGGGGAAUUUUCAGUUACUCCAUAAUAAAGAUGUCAUAGCCACUCAUUUUUUAAAUGAUGAGUUUAAAUAUUUCCCCUCUGGAACACUCUUCCCUUAUAAGGCAUUACAGUGGUACCUCAGUACUUGUUGGCUUCAGAACUCAUCAAAUCUGGUGCUCUUCGCAUUUUGACAAGAAAAAAUGUUUCAGCGCUUGGUGCUUGCUCGCCACUCAGUUGCACUUGCUAGAACUUGUAUGAGUCAUGAUGCCACCCCACAAGAAAAAAUGCUUCAUCGAACAUCACUUGCUUGCCACUCAUGGGAACAAAUUAAUGAUGAGUACUAAGGUACCAGUGUAUGACCUAUUUUGUCUCCUCUGGAGAUAGUAGGGAGAGCACAUCAGUAUCCUAGCUGUGGUAUUGUGAUUUAUACUAAGAAAUACAUAAUUUGGUUUUCCUUCAUCCCUGUUUCUGUCCCAGAGCUCCUUAAACCCUUGCAAUUUUCUACUUGGUGAGAGAGUAAAGAUGUCUUUUGUUAUGUUAUUGAGGUGAGUUUUGGAAAAUGCCUUGGAUUGGGGCUGGUUGCCAAGAGACCCAAAGAGGUGAUUUGAAGAUUGGAACUGAAGGGGAGAGGAGAGAAGGGCUGGAGGUUGAACCAGUCACUGUGGCCGGGCCUGUGUAAUGAGCCCUCCAUAAAAACCGCAAAGGACUGGGUGUGGAGUGCUUCUGGGUUGGUGAGCAUCUGGAGACUGGGGAAGAAUGGUGUACCUGGAGAGGGUGUGGGAACUUUGUGCCCUUUCCCCUACCUUGCCCUAUACAUCUCUUCCAUCUGGCUGUGCCUGUGUUAAUGUCCUUUUAUAAUAAACCAGUAAUCCAGUGAGUAAAAUGUUGCUCUGAGUUCUCUGAGCCUCUCCAAAUUAAUCAGGCCCAAAGAGGAGGUUGUCAGAACCUUCAGUCUUUAGGCAUGUAGUGAGAAGCACAGGUGACAACCUGGACUUUUGUUUGGCCUCUGAAGGGGGUGGGCAGUCUUGGAGGAACUAUAGUAUCUGAAGCCUUUUCCAGGUAGAAAGUGUCAGAACUGACUUAUUAUGGGACACCCAGCUGCUGUUGGAGAAUUAUUGCUGGUGUGGGAACACCUCCUUGUCCCAUGUUAGGAUUGGUAUGUGAAUAAUUAAUAGUAAUAGUGUCUGAGUUUUCUUUUCGGUCCUAUGAUUUGAGCCAGUGUUUGCCUUAAAAGCCAUAAUGUGGCCUGAUUUGUGAAGCUUAUCUGGGGAAACUUGCAUUCUCUCUUAAAAAUGCCUGAAACCUAGACAGAUACUUAGGUGGGCGUUUAGUUCCAGACUUAUCUUAUCCUCUAUAUGAAUAAUUUUCUCAAGAAAUAAAAAUUAACAUGAGUCUUAAAUAUUGAGUGUGAUUUUAUUUGGCUUUUACCAGUUGGCUCCUUGAAAAGCCCUUUCCUUUUGUUCUUUACCUGUUUAUUUUUUGUGUGCUUGUUCUUUGUUUAAUGUUAGAGUAUUACCUUAAAAUUACCCAUGGAACUUAAAAUAAAACCAAUGCACAGGUCUCAACCAGAAUAAUUAAUGAAACUCUCUGGGAGUAGAGCUCAGGCAUUGUUGUACCUCAGGUGAUUCUCAUUCUCUCCAGCAGUUUUGCAGACCAGUGUUCAGGUAUUGCUUGGUGGUCUGCUUGCUGACCAGCCCCUAAUCUUUCUUCCUUACUCUUUCUAACAUUGCCUUCAACCGUGCACUCUGUAUCUGUUAUGGCCUCUCUAGACCCUACCAUUUCUCUUCUGCGGGUGACUUUAAAAGUCCCUCUUGUUAGAGUGGAACUCAGUAGACUUCUCUACUUUUGAACUUGGCCUUCAAUAAAUGAUAACAUUGUGCUGAUUUAGCGUUCUUUUGGGGGAGCUCAGAGCUCUUUAAUAGUCUUAUGAUUAGUCCCCACAGUGUUUCACUAGAGUCAGGUAAGGGAUUCCUUAUCGUUAAAUCUAAUACCCUGAAAUCGCUGGGCUCUCCUGUCUUGUUCUCAUCUUGACUGUUACACCUAUGAGGUUGGACAGGUUCCCAGAUUGCCUUCCUGGUAAUCUGAGCAGUAAGAUUUACUGCCUAGCUUUUCUUUACCUGGAGAAUAAGUCCUGCAAGGACUUGAGAAAGAUAUUCUUUCUAAUCUUUGGUGGAGAGAUUUACUUGAUGGGCUGGGCGUGGGUAGCCUUUGAAGAAGGAUGUUGUAAUGUUAGGGUUAAUGUGUGAUUGUGGGCAUCCAAGCUGGGCCGGUCCAUGGCAGAACCAGUGACACCAGUGGACAAAGUGUACUACCAAGUUGUGUCAUUGGCUGAUGUUUAAAUUGCAUCAAAUUAAAGGCUAUUUUUCAUUCUCCGUUGUGGUGUCACCAGAGGGUGGAAUUAGUGUCAUUUUCUGCAGCCUUGAGCUUCUGGACCUGUCACUCUCCCUGAGGGUCACUAGGGGUAGUAACUCAGUAUUUUAUAAUCUGAAGAGGGAAGAACUUCUCUGGAAGACUUCUUAGGAGAGUUAUUAUUCCAGGUCCACCGAACCCUACUCAACUUUGUUUUUCCUUCAGUCCUUUAUU